rnacentral:rRNA from 1 species
ACGAAGGGGGCUAGCGUUGCUCGGAAUGACUGGGCGUAAAGGGCGCGUAGGCGGUUUGGACAGUUGGGCGUGAAAUUCCUGGGCUUAACCUGGGGGCUGCGCUCAAUACAUCCAGACUUGAGUGAGGAAGAGGGUCGUGGAAUUCCCAGUGUAGAGGUGAAAUUCGUAGAUAUUGGGAAGAACACCGGUGGCGAAGGCGGCGACCUGGUCCUUUACUGACGCUGAGGCGCGAAAGCGUGGGGAGCAAACAGGAUUAGAUACCCUGGUAGUCCACGCCGUAAACGAUGUGUGCUGGAUGUUGGGUGACCUAGUCACUCAGUGUCGUAGCUAACGCGGUAAGCACACCGCCUGGGGAGUACGGCCGCAAGGUUG